AAGUCGUAACAAGGUUUCCGUAGGUGAACCUGCGGAAGGAUCAUUAACACGUAUCCAACGUUAAACAACCCUGUGAACUUUCAGCCGCUCUUGUAGCCCUCGAGGAACAGCAAUCCCGGUAAAUCAUUGCCGAACAGUUUUGAUUCGGGACCUCUGUCCAAAAGGUAUCAAGUUACAAUUGAAGCGUAGGAGCAGUGGCAUGGCUUCCCCAAGCGGCUAGUGAAAUGACAUUGUCACUAGUUGUGUAAGGAUAACGCCUCACGGUUGCUAGAGGUCGAUCACCGGCCGGCAGACAUGUCACAGGGCUUUACGCCCCUUAACCACCCCUUGCAAGAAUGCCCCGCCUAGAUGGUAACGCGCUAGGUAAAAAAAACCGAACAACUGUUAACAAUGGAUAUCUUGGUUCUC
rnacentral:misc_RNA from 1 species